AAUAUGAGCAACACAGAUCAUACUCUUGUGGACUUCCAUAAAAGCCACAAGAAGCUAAACAAAGGCAGCCUCUCUUAACUGUUUUCUCAUGCUCCCCAGUUAAG